rnacentral:rRNA from 1 species
UCACCUACGGGGCGCAGCAGUGGGGAAUAUUGCACAAUGGGGGAAACCCUGAUGCAGCAACGCCGCGUGAAGGAAGACGGUUUUCGGAUUGUAAACUUCUGUUCUUAGUGAAGAAGAAUGACGGUAGCUAAGGAGCAAGCCACGGCUAACUACGUGCCAGCAGCCGCGGUAAUACGUAGGUGGCAAGCGUUAUCCGGAUUUACUGGGUGUAAAGGGCGUGUAGGCGGGGACGCAAGUCAGAUGUGAAAACCACGGGGUCAACCUGUGGCCUGCAUUUGAAACUGUGUUUCUUGAGUACUGGAGAG